ensembl:lncRNA
AUGGUUGGCAUGCAUGAAUUUCUCAAGGUGUCCAUCCAGCAAAUGGCCAAGCACAGGGAAAGAUGUGAAAAAGCCUUGGAAAGUCAGGACCCUCAGCAGUUUUCUUGGCAUGCGACUAACCUCACCAGUUGGGCUCAAUGGGUAGUUGAAGCUACUACCAGAUACGUGGACAGAGCCACGGACCCCAUUUUCAGGAAUGGCUUGCUGGUUUGGGUUGAGCAAUUGGGAAACUCCAUUGUUGAGCUGAAAACAGUCAUAGCUCUUUGUCCACAGAGACUCUCCUGCCUCCAAACUAGGCAUGUGUUUUUAAAGACAGUAAAGUGCCUGAUAGAUACUUCUCACCAUGUCCAAGAUGGGCUGGAUGGGUCCAACCACCCAGAUAUCCUUAGCCCUCUCCGGGAACAAGUGCGAAGCACUGAGGUUGCAGAGGAGCUUGAGCUCAGCUCAUCAUGUGCUGGGCUAAAAAAAAUUACUGAUGAGACUGCAUUGCAAGAAGACAUUUUAAGUUGUCUAUCUCCAAGAACAGGUAACAUACACCCAGAUGUUGUUCUGAGGAAAGCAGAUAUACACCCCGUCAUUACAGCGCUCCUGGCAGCAACAAGAGCCCAUGAUAUGGCAGCUGUCAAUGCUACUUGCUCCACUUUGCUUGAACUCUCCAACUGCUGUAUUGAAGCAUCAAAGGAAGCUUUGCCCGUGGUUGAGUCUCCUCUAAUGGAGAUGCUAGGGCAGUACAAGAAUAUCAUAUUACUGACGCCAUGUGUUAUCAGUUUGGCCAGGGAAACAGCCUCAAGGCAGCUUCAUGGUCCAGGCAGACUUCUCCAAAUGGCACUCACACUCUCAGAAAGAAUCUGUGAGACCAAAGAGUGCCUGGCAGCCAUGGCAGGCUCUUGGUAUAGUCUGUCUCAGCAAGUAUUUUGCUUUAUCUUGUCUACUGACUUUCUGAGCAGCAAACAGGCUUUAGAUGAGACUAUGAUGGCUUUAGCAGAAAUUGUUCACUUAGCAGGCGACAUUGCAAGCAUGGCUUGCAAUAAUGGAAAUGAUGUUCUCCCCAGUGUCUGGGAGAGCUUUCUACAGGUCCAAGUCAAAUUUUCACAUGCUCAGAUGAACACCAAAGUGUUACUUGAGAAAGCAGUGUCCUUUGAGGGCUCCCACAGGGUGGGAGARGCCAGCCUGGAGCUGCACUGUGUCCUGUGGGCUGUCAGCAUGCAUGUGCUGCUGAGUGCUGUGGAUCAGUUUAUAGGCAGGGAUGUCCUUUUCUUGAGGGAGCUGAGAAAUGCCAUGAAGCACAAGCUUUGCUUGCAGAGCAUCUUGGCUGCUGUGUCUGAGAACUCCCUGAGGUUGCAGGAGGCUGCCCGGCUGUCGUAUUUGUCCUGCCGUGAAGACUGUGGUUGCAGUGAAAUCCUAGUGCUCAGGGAGGAGAUAAGGGUGCUAAUGGAGGCAUUGCUGGAUGCCUCCAAUACCCUGUCGGGGUCUCUGCUGUCUACUGCCAGUUUGUACAUUCGCUUUGAGCUCCUGCAGAGAGACUUAGCCCUCAGAGCGAAGGCACUAUUGCUCCACCUUGAGAAGGCCAAUAUCGAACACUUACAGGUCAUCCGAGACGUCAUUGGGCCAGCCCUGUCCCCUGUCUCUCAAGAUGACAGAGAGAGGAGCAAACAGGCCUUUGAAGAGAAGGCAGGUCGGCUAAUGGCCAAUGUUCAGUGGGUCAAAAGCACCCUCCAAGAUGUUUUGGAGGCCACUGCUCAACUGCAAUCACAGGUGAGCCUGCUCUCCAUUGCAGACCACCUCCUAGUCCUCACGUCUGAUGCAGUGGGCAGUGCCAGGCAGAUCUUUCAAAGCCCUCAGGAAAAAGGGCAUCUCCGCCUAGAGAUCAUUGUCUGUGACUGGUCAGCGAAAGCACACUACCUCGUGAUGCAGCUUCAGGCUGUUCAGGGCAUCAAUGAACACGUCUUGGAGCUCGUGAGACGGCGCUUACAGAACAUGGGGGACCAGUGCCCUCCAAGGCAAUGCAACAGCAUAGCCAAGUUCUUCCCAGCCCAAGAGUCUGGUGCUCCAAGCCACACUGAGCAGGCAGAAACUCACCCAAGCAGGAGUGGACAGGCAAGUGGAGCUGCCAGGGAUACCUGUGAAAGGCAACAGAAUGGUCCUCCCAGUGUCUCCCCUGCCAGCAGGCCCAAGGAACCCAUGGGAGAAGACGGUGACGCACGGCAGGGUGGCCCCAACUGGAUGUCCCAGGUCACCAAGGACAUGGCAGCGAGGAUGCUUCACAUGACGCAAUUCCUGAGGAAGAAAGGCCCAAUCACGGUAUGGUUUAUUUCAUCCUGCACCCCAGCACUUUAG